rnacentral:rRNA from 1 species
CUGGCUCAGAACGAACGCUGGCGGCGCGUUUAAGCAUGCAAGUCGAGCGGCAAGGGCCUCGGGCCCCUAGAGCGGCGGACGGGUGAGUAACACGUGGACAAUCUGCCCCCCGGCCCGGGAUAGCCCAGGGAAACCUGGAUUAAUACCGGAUGAGACGGGACCCGCGAUGGCGGGACCCGGGAAGGCGCUGCGGCGCCGCCGGGGGAUGAGUCUGCGUCCCAUUAGCUAGACGGCGGGGUAACGGCCCACCGUGGCGACGAUGGGGUAGCCGGCCUGAGAGGGUGGACGGCCACAUUGGAACUGAGACACGGUCCAGACUCCUACGGGAGGCAGCAGUGAGGAAUAUUGGUCAAUGGGCGGGAGCCUGAACCAGCCAAGUCGCGUGAAGGGAAAAGAAGGAUCUAUGGUUCGUAAACUUCUUUUGCAGGGGAAUAAAGUGCAGGACGUGUCCUGUUUUGUAUGUACCCUGAGAAUAAGGAUCGGCUAACUCCGUGCCAGCAGCAGC